UACGGAGGGUGCAAACGUUGCUCGGAAUCAUUGGGCGUAAAGCGCACGUAGGCGGACCGCUAAGUCGGAUGUGAAAGCCCUCGGCUUAACCGAGGAAGUGCAUUCGAAACUGACGGUCUUGAGUAUGGAAGAGGGUCGCGGAAUUCCCGGUGUAGAGGUGAAAUUCGUAGAUAUCGGGAGGAACACCAGUGGCGAAGGCGGCGACCUGGGCCAAUACUGACGCUGAGGUGCGAAAGCGUGGGGAGCAAAC
rnacentral:rRNA from 1 species